rnacentral:lncRNA from 1 species
GGUUUCCCGCCCCCGGAGGCCCUCACAUCUCCCCGGUAACGCUUAGGAAUUCGGGCAGCCAGCUCGCCUACCCCUGGGGAAUCGAGGCAGAGCUUCUGGGAAUGGGGUCUGAGGGAAGAGUGCUCACCAGGCAGUGACAUGUAGCCGUUGAGGAUCGCCACUGCCGUCUCGUUCUGUGUUCUGUAGUCAGAAGUCCAACAUGGUUCUCAAUGGCCUAAAAUCAAGGUGUCCACAGGAUUGUGUUCCUUUCUAGAGAGCAAGCUGCAGUGUGGUAAACUGCCUUUGAAAGAGACCCACAUGUCAAGAAACUGAGCAUCACCUGUGACCAACAGCCAGAAAGUAACUGAAGCCCCAAGACGAACAGCUUGUGCAAAACUAAAUUCUGCCUACAACAAGAGCAUGAAUCGAGACGCAGAUCCUUCCCUAGUUGAUCCUUGAAAUGCUUGCAGCUCUAUGGACACCUUGAUUGCAGCCUUGUGAGAAAUUCUGAACUAGAGGACCUCGUAUGCCUUACCCAUAGGACUUAGAAGAUAAUACGUGUUUUUCAAAAAAGUAAGUUUGGGGAUAAUUUCUUAUGCAGCAAUAGAUAAUGAAUAAUAAAGUAAAUACAGUUUUUUGCUGUUGACUUCAAAAAUGUUUAAAGAUUUUACUGUUAUAUAAUUGUACAUAUUUAUGGGGUACAUGUGAUAUUUUGAUACAUGCAUACAAUGUGUAAUGAUCAAACUGGGGUAAUU